rnacentral:rRNA from 1 species
AGAGUUUGAUCAUGGCUCAGAUUGAACGCUGGCGGCAGGCCUAACACAUGCAAGUCGAACGGUAACAGGAAGAAGCUUGCUUCUUUGCUGACGAGUGGCGGACGGGUGAGUAAUGUCUGGGAAACUGCCUGAUGGAGGGGGAUAACUACUGGAAACGGUAGCUAAUACCGCAUAACGUCGCAAGACCAAAGAGGGGGACCUUCGGGCCUCUUGCCAUCGGAUGUGCCCAGAUGGGAUUAGCUAGUAGGUGGGGUAACGGCUCACCUAGGCGACGAUCCCUAGCUGGUCUGAGAGGAUGACCAGCCACACUGGAACUGAGACACGGUCCAGACUCCUACGGGAGGCAGCAGUGGGGAAUAUUGCACAAUGGGCGCAAGCCUGAUGCAGCCAUGCCGCGUGUAUGAAGAAGGCCUUCGGGUUGUAAAGUACUUUCAGCGGGGAGGAAGGGAGUAAAGUUAAUACCUUUGCUCAUUGACGUUACCCGCAGAAGAAGCACCGGCUAACUCCGUGCCAGCAGCCGCGGUAAUACGAAGGGUGCAAGCGUUAAUCGGAAUUACUGGGCGUAAAGCGCACGCAGGCGGUUUGUUAAGUCAGAUGUGAAAUCCCCGGGCUCAACCUGGGAACUGCAUCUGAUACUGGCAAGCUUGGGUCUCGUAGAGGGGGGUAGAAUUCCAGGUGCAGCAGUGAAAUGCGUAGAGAUCUGGAGGAAUACCGGUGGCGAAGGCGGCCCCCUGGACGAAGACUGACGCUCAGGUGCGAAAGCGUGGGGAGCAAACAGGAUUAGAUACCCUGGUAGUCCACGCCGUAAACGAUGUCGACUUGGAGGUUGUGCCCUUGAGGCGUGGCUUCCGGAGCUAACGCGUUAAGUCGACCGCCUGGGGAGUACGGCCGCAAGGUUAAAACUCAAAUGAAUUGACGGGGGCCCGCACAAGCGGUGUAGCAUGUGGUUUAAUUCGAUGCAACGCGAAGAACCUUACCUGGUCUUGACAUCCACAGAACUUUCCAGAGAUGGAUUGGUGCCUUCGGGAACUGUGAGACAGGUGCUGCAUGGCUGUCGUCAGCUCGUGUUGUGAAAUGUUGGGUUAAGUCCCGCAACGAGCGCAACCCUUAUCUUUUGUUGCCAGCGGUCCGGCCGGGAACUCAAAGGAGACUGCCAGUGAUAAACUGGAGGAAGGUGGGGAUGACGUCAAGUCAUCAUGGCCCUUACGACCAGGGCUACACACGUGCUACAAUGGCGCAUACAAAGAGAAGCGACCUCGCGAGAGCAAGCGGACCUCUUAAAGUGCGUCGUAGUCCGGAUUGGAGUCUGCAACUCGACUCCAUGAAGUCGGAAUCGCUAGUAAUCGUGGAUCAGAAUGCCACGGUGAAUACGUUCCCGGGCCUUGUACACACCGCCCGUCACACCAUGGGAGUGGGUUGCAAAAGAAGUAGGUAGCUUAACCUUCGGGAGGGCGCUUACCACUUUGUGAUUCAUGACUGGGGUGAAGUCGUAACAGGGUAACCGUAGGGGAACCUGCG